UCACCAACUCUAACAUUUUCCCUAUAUCUGGAGACUGGAGACCACAUUUUCAAAGCUUACUCCGUGACGUCACGACGUAAAUAUUGUUACGAAUGUGUGUGUAUGUGCAUAUGUGUGUUUGCGCGAGCUGGCUUUGUGAGUGUUAGCACGCAGCGCAAGUGAGCAGUCUGCAAGAGAGCACAUGCAAGGCAAGACUGGGAGACGCACGCUCUGUUAUUAAGAUGUGCUGCCUGCUGUUGUGGUCUGUUGUGCCCGCCCCUGGGAAUGCCUGUGGAGUGCCUGAGUGCCCUGUGUGUGUGUGAAGGCUGCCCUGUGAUGUACUGUGAACUGAG